UCUAAUAUGGCAGAUUAGUGCAAUGAAUUUAAGAUUCAUAUAUGAUUGUGUAAUUACAUUCUAUUAGAA
rnacentral:tRNA from 1 species